GAUGCUCUUCAUAACCCACCCCGAGCCACUCCGGAGUUCUCGCUGCAAUAUCCAAAUGGCUCUUACCAGCUAUGGGAAAGGCGAGAGCUGGGACGGCUAUGGGAGCCUUUUCCUCCUCCUCUCCUUUCCGCUCCCGUGCAAAGCCGCCCCUCCUUUUUCCCGUCGCUAGAUGGCGUGUGGAUAACGGGAAGUAAGCUGCGCGACGGGGUGCCAGGAGGGUCCCCAGGUCCGCGCUUGCCGCCCCGCGCGACCCUGCUGGGCUACACCAGGGCCCCGUUGCCGCCUCGAAGCCGCAAGAGAGGUCGUGGAACCCCUGCAUCUCCGGGGGAAACCGGGCACGUAAUUCCUUGAGCUCUGCGUGCCGCUCUGAUAGCUCCCGUAGAAAAAAGGAACUAUCUGUAUUUUUUAACUAAGAUUCUGAAAACGCUUGAUGUCCUGUACAGAGCUCGCAUCAAGAUACCAGAAGUUUUUCCGGAACAGAAUUCUUCAUUUGCAGCAAAGGGUUCCCACACACACAGAGGUCUGCUUUAUGAUGGGUUCAGAGCAAAACCCCACAAGCAAUUGAGCUGACACAACAGGAGUGGUAGACUGCUAUGACAUGGAUUUUAUGGAAUCACAGAAUGGCUAAGGCUGGGAGAGGCAUCUGAAGGUCAUCUUGUCCACCCCCCUGCACUUUUCCAGGAUUGUGUCUGGGUGGAUUUUGAACAUGUCCAAUGAUGGAGACUUUGCAGUCUCUCUGGCCAACCAGUUCCAGUGCUCAGUCACCCUCACAGUAAAAAAUUUCAAGCUUCACUGUCAUUAAAUAUUUUGUGUGAUGACUGCCUGCUCUAAAUUAGAACUAAGAAGCAUUUGUAGAAGUUCAUGACUACCUCCCGGUUCAGGUCUUACAGUUAGACUUCGAAAUCCUGUGUCUGUGUAACACUGCCUGUGUCAGUCUCUUGGAAUGCAUCUGUCCUAGUCAGUUCUAGUAUGCUUCAGAAUGCAUGGGAAUGUGUUUGUCCUUGCUAGGCUAAUCCCACAGUAGGCCAGUCCUACACUUGCUAGGCCAAUCUCAGCACACUCCCUAAAAAAAUCUUGGCCUGUUUCAACUGUUUAUGUCCCUCAGCAACUCCUUGGCAUUGUCUGUCAUUCAGAGCAGCUCAGGAGAACGCUCAAUGGGCAGUUUGCCUUCAGUUACCCAUUCCCAACAAUUUCUUAAGUGUAGAUGCCAGCUAUUCUGUGAAUUAUGUCAGAGCCUUCUACUCUGUGAGUGAUGUCAGACAUGUUUAAUUUGCUGGUGUAUAAGUGGCCUGUGUCUGCAGGAUAUCUGAAUGUGUGCUCAGCACUGUGACCUGAGCUUUAGUGCAUCGUGCUGCUGAACGUGCCCUUGACUCCAGGCUUCAUGUGUGAUAUGUGUUAGGGAGAUGGGGCAGGCAAGAAUAACAAAACUGCCUCUUUGCUUCUUGUCUUGGUUUCUGGGGAAUAUUUUCUUUGACUUUUUCCUUUUAGAACUUGUCCAGAUCUUGGGCUGUGUUUGUGAAUUUGCCUUUCUGAAUUUUAGCCCUCUAAGCAUGAAAAUCAAUGUAAUUUAUUUUUUACUUACAUCAGAGUGGAUAAUGUAACUCAGGCACAUAAUAAAUAAACAAAUCAGCUUGCUUAAUUUGAACUGAAAUACAACUUUUCAAUGCUUUUUUUAGCCUUCAAAAAAUUUCUAAAAUUUAGGAUCAAGAACAGCUCCGAGCUGUUUUCGAUUGAAAACUGCAAUUGCUCUCUGUAUUUCCAAUGAAUCUAUUUCAGUGAGAAUGAAAAAAUGGACUUUUUUAAACCUCAGUAUUUAUUUUUAAUUUCACCUGCAUUUGAGACCUCCUGCUGGCCUACCUGUGUUUUUCUCAAUUUAUAUUCAAUGUAAAACUGAUUUUGGGAGAGAAUCAAUCACUUGGUUUGGAAUGCUGAUUUCUGAUGUUUAGCUGUAUGCCUCUGUAGCACAGUUAUCUUUAUGCUGUAAGUAUAUGUAACUCAAGAAUGUACAUUAGCAAAAUAAGGUAUUUCUCUUUCAAUAUGCAUUUCUUAAUUUCUCUUUCAAUAUGCAUCUCAUAAGAUCUGCAAGAUGUUACAAGGAGUUUGAAGAUAUAGUACGAUAACAUAAAAGUAGUGUUUUAUGUAGAUGUAAAUAACAAAACCCAAGAACUAUAUUAAAAUAAUGUUUAAAUUUAGAAAAUUCUCUUGUGCUCCUGUUAGCAUUGUUGUUCAACUGAAUGUACAAAUGGUUAAUUAUAUAAAUCUGUUACGUUAUAACCUACUGAAGCAAGAAAUGGCAGCACUCAGCUUCUUCUUUUAUUCAUAUCUUGCAGCUGCCGUUGUACCACAGACAUUUUUGACCUUAUAUUAUUUUGCUGUACUUUUAAGCUUCUCUGAGUAAGUUGUGUUACACUUUUCAUCGUGUACUCGGAGUUCCAAAAUGAAUUAAAUUCUCCCAUCUGCUCUUUUCACUAA